CGGGGCGUGGCGCAGCCCGGCUAGCGCGCUUGCAUGGGGUGCAAGAGGUCCCGGGUUCGAAUCCCGGCGCCCCGACAA
rnacentral:tRNA from 1 species